rnacentral:rRNA from 1 species
CAGCCGCCACGGGAAUACGGAGGGUGCAAGCGUUAUCCGGAUUUAUUGGGUUUAAAGGGUCCGUAGGCGGAUCUGUAAGUCAGUGGUGAAAUCUCACAGCUUAACUGUGAAACUGCCAUUGAUACUGCAGGUCUUGAGUAAAUUUGAAGUGGCUGGAAUAAGUAGUGUAGCGGUGAAAUGCAUAGAUAUUACUUAGAACACCAAUUGCGAAGGCAGGUCACUAAGAUUUAACUGACGCUGAUGGACGAAAGCGUGGGGAGCGAACAGGAUUAGAUACCCCAGUAGUCCCUGUCUCUUAUAA